rnacentral:rRNA from 1 species
GAUGAACGCUGGCGGCGUGCCUAAUACAUGCAAGUCGAGCGAACAGACGAGGAGCUUGCUCCUCUGACGUUAGCGGCGGACGGGUGAGUAACACGUGGAUAACCUACCUAUAAGACUGGGAUAACUUCGGGAAACCGGAGCUAAUACCGGAUAAUAUAUUGAACCGCAUGGUUCAAUAGUGAAAGACGGUUUUGCUGUCACUUAUAGAUGGAUCCGCGCCGCAUUAGCUAGUUGGUAAGGUAACGGCUUACCAAGGCAACGAUGCGUAGCCGACCUGAGAGGGUGAUCGGCCACACUGGAACUGAGACACGGUCCGGACUCCUACGGGAGGCAGCAGUAGGGAAUCCUCCGCAAUGGGCGAAAGCUUGACGGAGCAACGCCGCGUGAGUGAUGAAGGUCUUCGGAUCGUAAAACUCUGUUAUUAGGGAAGAACAAAUGUGUAAGUAACUAUGCACGUCUUGACGGUACCUAAUCAGAAAGCCACGGCUAACUACGUG